CUGGAUCUGAUUAUAAUAAACAAUGCUGAUCUUUUGAAAAACAUUCAAGUAGGGGAGUAGAAAAUAGUGAUCACAAUAUGGUGUAUUUUGAAAUAAACUCAAAAAAGCUAAUUCACAUGGGGUAUAUUAAAACAUAUACUUUUGAAAAGGCCAAUUUCAGUAAGAAUAUGUCAGCUUCACAACGCAUUGACUGGCAUAAAUUCUUUAGUACAAAAAAAACACUUUAAACAAAUAUUAGCAAAGUACACUUCUCAAUAUGUACCAUUGGGUAAUAAAUGUAAAAGAAACAAAUUGAAACUAAAAUGACUUAGUG